ensembl:lncRNA
GCGCCAUCGGCCCCUCUGGCCAACACCAGUAGGCGAGCCACAACAGGACCCACAAGAACAUGGGAACAAGUAAAAGUGGAAUACAGGAGUAUUCUACAGAAUGGUAAUAUUUAUCUCUUAGAUUGCUUUGCGUCUCUUGGCAAGGUAAUACUGGCCUGUAAUACUCUGUUAGUUUGUUCAUAACAGCAACCAAGAAAAGGGCAGAGGAAAAAAAGACAGGUGGUGGUCCUGCACCCCCUCGUCAACAAGUUGGUUAAGUAAAUAAUACCCUCACGGGAAAAUCGAUAUCUCUCUAUGAGCACACUGUCGCGCUGAGCUAAAGGAUCCUGUCUAUCCCGCAAUAUACGCUGAAUUCUGAGGACUCUCCUUAUCAAUCUUGCACCUUCCGCAAUGGGUGGCUCGCG